rnacentral:rRNA from 1 species
AGCGAACGCUGGCGGCAGGCCUAACACAUGCAAGUCGAACGAACCUUUCGGGGUUAGUGGCGGACGGGUGAGUAACACGUGGGAACGUGCCUUUAGGUUCGGAAUAACUCAGGGAAACUUGUGCUAAUACCGAAUGUGCCCUUCGGGGGAAAGAUUUAUCGCCUUUAGAGCGGCCCGCGUCUGAUUAGCUAGUUGGUUGAGGUAAUGGCUCACCAAGGCGACGAUCAGUAGCUGGUCUGAGAGGAUGAUCAGCCACAUUGGGACUGAGACACGGCCUAAACUCCUACGGGAAGCAGCAGUGGGGAAUCUUGCGCAAUGGGCGAAAGCCUGACGCAGCCAUGCCGCGUGAAUGAUGAAGGUCUUAGGAUUGUAAAAUUCUUUCACCGGGGACGAUAAUGACGGUACCCGGAGAAGAAGCCCCGGCUAACUUCGUG